GGUUAGGUGGCUGAGCGGCCCAAAGCAUCGGUCUGCAAAACCGAAUUUCGCGGGUUCAACUCCCGCCCUAACCU
rnacentral:tRNA from 1 species